rnacentral:rRNA from 1 species
UACGGAGGGUGCAAGCGUUAUCCGGAUUCACUGGGUUUAAAGGGUGCGUAGGAGGGCAGGUAAGUCCGUGGUGAAAUCUCCGAGCUUAACUCGGAAACUACCGUGGAUACUACCGGUCUUGAAUAUCGUGGAGGUGAGCGGAAUAUGUCAUGUAGCGGUGAAAUGCUUAGAGAUGACAUAGAACACCCAUUGCGAAGGCAGCUCACUACCCGAAUAUUGACUCUGAGGCACGAAAGCGUGGGGAUCAAACAGG